UACGAAGGGGGCUAGCGUUGCUCGGAAUCACUGGGCGUAAAGGGUGCGUAGGCGGGUCUUUAAGUCAGGGGUGAAAUCCUGGAGCUCAACUCCAGAACUGCCUUUGAUACUGAGGAUCUUGAGUACGGGAGAGGUGAGUGGAACUGCGAGUGUAGAGGUGAAAUUCGUAGAUAUUCGCAAGAACACCAGUGGCGAAGGCAGCUCGCUGGGACGUUACUGACGCUGAGGAGCGAAAGCGUGGGGAGCAAACAGG
rnacentral:rRNA from 1 species